rnacentral:rRNA from 1 species
AAUCAACGCUGGCGGCGUGCCUCAGACAUGCAAGUCGAACGUGAAAGGCUUCUUCGGAAGCCGAGUAAAGUGGCGCACGGGUGAGUAACACGUGAGUAAUCUGCCUUCACGGUGGGGGAUACCAAUCGGAAACGGUUGUUAAUACCGCAUAAUGCAGCGGCAUCAUAAGAUGACAGUUGUUAAAGCGGGGGAGCGAAGCAAUUCGUCCUCGCGCCGGAAGAGGAGCCGCGGCAGAUUAGGUAGUGGUGAGGUAACGGCUCACCAAGCCUGCGAUCUGUAACCGGCCUGAGAGGGCGGUCGGUCACACUGACACUUAGAUACGGGUCAGGACUCCUACGGGAGGCAGCAGUCGGGAAUUUU